UACGUAGGGUGCGAGCGUUAAUCGGAUUUACUGGGCGUAAAGCGUGCGCAGGCGGCCCGUUAAGUCAGGUGUGAAAUCCCUGGGCUCAACCUAGGAAUUGCGCUUGUGACUGGCGGGCUCGAGUACGGUAGAGGGGGGUGGAAUUCCUGGUGUAGCAGUGAAAUGCGUAGAGAUCAGGAGGAACACCGAUGGCGAAGGCAGCCCCCUGGGCCUGUACUGACGCUCAUGCACGAAAGCGUGGGGAGCAAACAGG
rnacentral:rRNA from 1 species